GACACGGCUGAGGGCCCCAGCCUGCAGCCCCACCCUAUGUGUCUCAGACCCACUUUCUCUUCCCUUGACCGAUUCCACUGCCUGGAUGACAUGGGGCAGGAAGGGGAAGGCUGCCUGCCAUGUGGUAGGAGCAGUGCAGAGGGCGGGGACCUUUCCCAGCUGAGAGAGAUGAAGCCCAGGUUGACCUUGUGGCCGAUAACAGCAAAAUAGGAGCUGACCUUUACCAACCAUUUCCUAAGCAGCAGGCCAAGCGCCAUACAAACUGCCUUAUUGAAGACCCUGGCUCUACUGGAAAACGAAUUCUUUUAGUUGCAUUCACCUCUUGCAAAGUCCUUGGAGGAUGCAGGAAGCUGAACUUCAGGGGAGGCACCAAGAGCGACUACCUAGACCCUCUCUCUCAUAGUUCCAAGGCUGCCCUGCUGUCUCCAUGGUGGGAGUCACCAUCGCUAAGCCCCGUGCACACAGCCUGGAGAGAGAGGUCCGCAGACCCUGACCAAGGUUCUGGGUUGGGAGCCUGCCGACCUGGCGCCUUCUCGUCAUUCGACCCACAGCUCUCCCUCUGGACACUUUUCUAGCAGCCCGUGGGGCUCCGACAGGAACACAGUACCAGUCUUUCACCUGGAGGCCUGCUCUCCUCCACUUUCUUCGUGUGGUGGGGACUGCCUGGGCCCUGUUCCACUGCGGUUCCCGGGGAAAGGAGACUGAGCACCACCGCUCUGAAGAAGGAUACUGAGGGCUCUGCUGACAGCUCCUCUGCCCUCCCGAUCCGGCCACCUGCCUCCUCAGCAGUACCCCCGGUGGAAGAGAUAGGAAAGACAGAGAGAGCUCACUGCACACCCAGCUGCAGGCCUGAAGAAGCCCAGCGCUCCAGCAGCAGCCAACGCAAGAUCCUGGAAUACCAGGGUUAGGACCAGUGGUGUGUGGUAAGGACAAAACAAGAGGGAGCAGCAUAAGUUGGAAUGAUCUGAGGCCUCCCACUCGGGCUUCCAGUGGAAGUGAGAUCCCACAUGAUACCUUAAGCAGCGUUACCAGAGGCUGGAAGUUUCCAGUCCCUGCUUCUUGCAUCUGUCAGUGCCAGGAGACUGUCUGUAGAAGAGGCAGAACCAGGACAAGAUUCCCUGUCAUUAGAGUAAAACUAAGCUGUUAUCUGACAAUCCAAGAAACCAAAACUGACCACAUUAGCCAAAUUCCCAAACAGCCCUGUCUCAAUAGCCAUUAUGAUGCAGUUCCCUCUGCCUUAAUCUUCAUUCACAUAAGAAAGGUAACCUGAAGGAACUGAACGAAUCAGCUAUUUUCCCAUUAUUGCCUCUCUGUUCUCUGUAACUUUGAUAUGACUAGUGUAUUCUUUGCUUUGAUUCUGCUUCUUUCAGCCCUUCUCUUUCUAUAAAACCAACCUCUUGUGUUCAGCCCAUUGGAACACUUAUUCUGUCUUAUGAAAUGAAAUAUUGCCUGAUUUUAGAAUCAAAACUAAAAUCAAUUAAGAUCUUUAACCAAAUUUUUGUAAUUUUGCUCUUGGAUAGUGUCCAGUUGAAGACACUGAGCACCCAUGGUUUCUCCUGCCUAUGACAUCACAGACUUUCCUGUUCAGGGGAUGAUUUUCUCUGUGUCCAUGUACCAUCGGGUGCUCAGAGAGCUUGGCAAAUUCCAGUCCUUUAAAGCACUAUGUUUUUAUAAUGUGACACGAUGCCUCAAAAUUACAUUAAUAGCUCUGGUGCUGCAAUUAUAUUAGACUGAGAAUGACAGCCUGUCUCUCUGCCUAAUGAAAGCAAGUUGAUGAAGAAUUUCAUUCAUAAAACAUUGAAAUGGCUCCUCCAGUUUUCAUUGAACUAUCCAGAGAAACUUCCUCAAGACCAGAGUCAAGGCCCAAUCUGAGACCCUUCCUCCAUCUGCAUUUUCAGAAAUAUAUAUUCUUGCACAAGCAACAUACCACAUAAUCUCUCUGAUGCAGUAGCAUGUUUUCUGGAUGAAGAUCCAGGAACUUCAAUAAAGUGUCCAGUUGGAGUCAUGACCUUAGAAAUUAAAUUACACUUCACCCACACCAGUGUGAAGAAAGAGUUAAACUUUUAAAAACAAAAAAGAAAGUUCAGCAAGUGAGACUUAUUCACUUCCUCUCUCUUACCUCUCUUGGCUAUGAAUUUGAGCAAGAGUAAACUAGGUGUCUCUAAUUAGCUUAUCCAGAUAAAAAAGUGCCUCUGACCCUGCUGGGUGGUCAGGAAAGCCAUGAACUUGUCCCACCUGCAAGGGUGGUGGUUUUCCCUGAGAUAAGAAAUGUACUGGGCUCCAAUGUGACAGCUAAAGAAAAGGAAAUGUUAAACUAAGUAUAACAGCUCAUUCACUUUGCAACUUGGUGGGGCCUUCUUUCAUUUCCUCUAUCUUCUGUAUGUGUUUCACACUUACGUACACACUCAAAUGAGCCAGCCUAAAUAUAAUGGCACAGCCACACUCAAGGAUUCCUGUAGUUCUUAAUGAAGGCCAUUAAAAGCAAAAACAACAAAAACAAAAACUAUAAUGGAAGGUGAUAGAGAUCCAUCUCAAUAUUAAAUACCCUAUUUAAAGUUAAAAGAAACUUAAGCAACGAGUUAAAUUAUUCACAUAAUUAAUGUCAUGCCAAUUAUCUGAAAAGACACAGGCCCUGAGUCUGGCUUCCAAACUGCUAACUAUGGCCUCUCUCUCCUGGCACCAAGCAGGCAGCUCUCAAAUGAUCCUAAAUACCAAAACAUGCCCAGGCUAUAUUUCUUAAGCACUGAAGCUGAAAUUUCCAACAUAACAAACCUCAAAACAUUUGGUUUCCAGCAGUGCCUGGAUGAGUUCAAGCCUGAUUUUGCCCAAGUCUGGGGUAAAAGAACAGAAGAAUUUAAGAGGAGCUAUAAGUGGGCUGGGUAAGGUGGAAGAGAGAGCAAUAACUGGUAAGGAGGAGAGGGAUGAAGUAAAACAACAUUCAAAUGAUGGGCUGAAAAUGGAAACAAUCUCCUAAAAGGUUCAGGAGAAACAAUAUAUUAUUAAAAGAUAAUUUUCAGAAAAAGAUAAAAAUCAUGAUUCACAUACAGAUAUAAAAAUAGGCAUGAUAAAGAAUUUAUUUAUUCUUGCUACCAGGAAACCAGGCAAAUGUUCAAAGGAAAACACACAAAUUUAUAUUAAGUAAAGAAAGGAAUGUUUAGAUGUAUUACAAAUGGAAUCGAAACUGUUUUUUUUCCAAAGGGGGAGGAAGUCAAUUAAAUCCCUAUCAGACAGGACAGAAUUUAUGUAGCUAGUAAAAUUUAUAGAGCAUUGCAGAAUAGGUCAAAGACAAUGAACAGUAGAAUCUGAUAACCCAGAAUGUUGUGCUAUAGAUGGUGCAUAGUUUUCUACUGAAAACUUUUUCUGCAAUACUCAUAAAGGUUGUUAAGAGGACAUCUCAUUCUUUGAGGGGGAGAAUAUCCCUUCCCAGAGAGAAUAGUGUCACGGGAGGUCAAAGCCCAUGAAGAGGCAAGAUAGAGACGUUGUUGAGACUUCUAUGGCAGGGGUUGGGUCAGAAAGCAGUAAUUUUAUUAUUUUUAAAUUCAGUCAACACACGCACGCGCGCACACACACACACACACACACACACACGCACAUGCAUGCAUGCACCAAACAUGAAAUAAGAAGUAGAAAGCUUAGGAGGUCAUCUUGACUAAUCUUCUAGUCCGAGGUCCGCAUCUCACAGAUGAUGAGACUGGGACUCUAGGCUGGGCAUGGCUCAACGUCACUCAGUUAUAUUUAUAGUUUCUGGUCCUAGAGACCAUUAGGAGAAUGGUGAGAAUCCAGGAUUCACCCCUAUCCAUGCUGACUCAGGUACUCUUCUCAUUGCUGAGGCAAAAUACCUGACACCUAAAGUUAAACUAGGAAAGGUUUAUUUGGCUCAUGUUUUCUAAAGGUUUCAGUCCAUAGCCAGCUGGCUGCAAAGCAGGGUGGCUUGGUAGAGAGGCAUCGCAGAGGAAAAAUAGUCCAUGGCAAAGCAGGCAGGAGACGGUGAAGCAGCAAGCAGCGAAAUAGCAUUUAGGCUAAAUGCCUUUUGAUCGGUGCUGCCCAUACCCAGGGUGGAGCAACUUAAUCCCAGUAUCAUACCCUUAAUCCACAUUCACACAUCCUAUACCAGCCACCUUCGAAACUCCCCACCUGUGACCACAUGAGACUUUGGAGAAACAUAUGGAUGCAAGUCAUAACAUGUGAGUACAAAAUAUACAUGCUUAAUCAAAGCACAUAUUCUGGAUUGGGUCUAGAAUGCUUACCACAUGGGUCACCUGCCUCUGUGUCACACCCCAUGGCACCCAAAACACACCUAAUCUAGUUUUGAUAAACAUAAUUGAAAUGACUACUUCACAGCAGUCUUUAAAGGCUAUUUCUUUUCUUCUUUUUUGAGAAACAUUUUAAUAGCCCACAUUACUCAAAAUUUUAAAAAAGAGUGAAGAAAUCUGAGCAACACAUUCCUUUUCUUUGGAUGAAUUACCUUGUAACAAGGAGAGGGAUUCCAGAUCAUUCCAUUGUUCUUUCUAAAGUUAACUGUUUCAGCAUUUAAGAAUUGAAAGGCUAACAGAUUGCUUGAGUUGUACAAAUGUGAAGAGAAGGAAUAGGGUUUGAUUCUUCCGGGUCUUGAGAUCUUUCUCUUUCCACCCUCUUCUCACCUUUUACCCUAUUCCACAGCCAUUAAUGAGACAGUACUGGGGCGCUUUUUUUUUUUUAAAUGAAAGAGCCCUAAAUAUCCCAAGUCACUUUGGCCUCACCACUUUUUGUAACCCUCUGGGGCUGGUGGUGGAGAUCCUGCAGCAGAAAAUAAGUUCAUGAGUGGAUAAAGUUGACAAAGGCUGAAGCCUAAGAAUGAAUUAUAGGCAUUGUAGGCAAAGAAACAGACUGCUACCUUAUCUAUUGUAUAUCUUCCAUGCUAAAGAUCAUCAUACCAUCCAAAUGUCCCCAUGAGGUGAUUUUCAUGAGUUUGGAAUGUAAAAUAAUGGUUCAUCUGCUAAUCACAGGCUCCCUUCUGACAGAGGCAGGUGAGAGCCAGAACCAACUGGGAACCAAUGAGGGUUGUGGGGAUUCCUGGCACCAGGAUUCAAGAACAGCAAGGUGCUGUCAAGGACAUCCUGAUGCUUUUCUUUGGGGAGAAACACUAUGUGUGGACCCCACUUCCAAGCGCUAUUUGCUUAAGGAAUGAGCUUUGCAUUAAAACGUGCAUGUUGGUGUCGUGUACCUUCUAUUACAAUAUCAUACAGAUUCUAUUUAUUAAAACCUAUAGAAUGUACAACACAGUGAGCCCUAAUGUUAAUUUUCCUGUUAAUUAAUCAUAAUGUAUCAAAAUGGGUUCAUCAGUUAUAACAAACAUGAAUGUUCCAUACUAAUGUUAGUGAUAGGAGAACCUAGGAGCAAGG